GUCAGGUGUGGAGAGAAAAGAUAGUUAUACACGAAGAGCAGGCGCUGCCGGAACCACCGACUACGUCAUCCAGCAAAUCCCAGGACGACUGAGGAAACAGAGAGUCCCGUUCGGAGGACUUAAAGACACCGAACACCUUGCCAAGAGAAUUCAAUGAUCAAAGAAGACUAGCAGACAGAGGACAUCCUAAUCGCUGUCAGGGUGCUGCCGACAUUCAAAUACACCUCCACCACUUGCUAGCUACAUCAAAAGGAAUUACGUUAAAAUCCAGCUUGGGGGAGAGCACCCCCAUUUAUCUAGCUAAGUAUUCUACUCAUGUUUAUACUUUACUCAAAUAAUAAAAAGAUGCAUAAUCAUAUAAACCCAAAUAAACAUUUUGUGCUUAUAUAUAUAUCUUUGCUUAGUUUGCUAAAUAAAUAAAUAAAUAAAAUUUGCUAUGAACCCUCAUGAUAAGCUCUUAUAUGGAAAUGAUGAAUAGUUGCUCUACCAUGACUAGUUCUCAAAAUUAAAAUCUCUCUCAAGUUUAGCAUGAUUGGUAUUAAUUAAGAUUUGCUCUAAACCUGAACUUGUGGGGAGAGUACUUGAUCUGAAGUCUAAGUCGUUAAUGGAUAUGAUAUGGGAAGGUUGAGCUGCUGUUUAUCUGUUCCUAGAGAUGCUAGAAUUUUGGAGCAUUUAAUCUUUGAAAAUCUUUAAAAUGUUGCAUGAUGAGUUCCUGUAUGAUGAGAGUUUAAAUUCCUACCAUAUAUACAUGCUUGCUAGACUAUGAGCCACACAUUUACUUUUUACUACUUAUGAGCAUUGAGUGUGGUCAAGCUGUGUAGACCCUUAGGAGCUUGUCAUGUGGUUAAAUCAAGAUUCACUUGCACGUUCACUCAUACAUGUUGCUUCUACUCCGGAAGUACGUAUCCACAUAUAUCCACCCAUUUCCAUCUCCAGAACCACCAAAAAAUAUUCUACUCCUAAUCCGGGAGAGAAUAGCCAAAUAUAUUUCUGUUUUUCCCCUGUGAAAUAAAUGCUCAAGUUAUCUUGUUACUACCACUUGCUAUAUUAUUUCUGGAGAUGAGUGCUCUAAAAAAGAGAAAAAAAAAGAGAAAGAAUACGAGGAAAUAAAAAGGGGCAAGUGCCCGGAACCUCGAAAGAAAAGAAAAAGUGAGACGAGAGGUAAAAAUGGACAAGUGUCCGACAGUAGAAUUAGGGGUACAAGAUACCCACCUGAGGGGAAAGAAAAAGAAAAUACAGAGCAUCUCAUUCUCCCCAAAAUUUUCAAAAGAGCAAGGAAGGUAUGUCUUCCCUCAAAAGAGCAAAAGUAGAAUUAGACUUUCACCAUUAUUUUCACCACCAUACACCAUUCAUUCGCCACACAUGCACAUCUUGAUUUGACUUAUUGACUUGUUCUUCUAGAUCCAUGGUUUCACUAUGCAAUAAAUGUUUUGUAAGUAUGUAUUAGUUGUCUCCCACCUAUGAGCUCCAGAUAUCAAAACCUUAUUAGAGUAGGGUGAGAGAGAAGGCAAUGUCACUAUGCCUCAUACCAAAAAUACCACAUACUUUGAGAGAAGGCAUACACCUUUACUGCCUUGGUAAGGAUCCAGAAAUACCACAAAAGAGAGACUAGAGAGAGUCAUACAAGGAAUCUCUGAGUUUUAUUUGAAAAUCUGCAAAAACUCCAGAGCUAUAGUUAAUCGAAGAACAUGAGACAUGGCACUUGACUAGACCGUUCUAUCUUUUAACUGCUCAAGACACAAGUGACGGUUGCAAGCCCCAUGGUGAAAGGUAAUAUGAGUAAGUUUAAAUCUUAACAGUUUACCCUAACCUAGAGAUGAGAUCCUAUUUGAACGCAUGUGUAUCUUUAAGGCAUGAAACCACUGCAGAAACUCUUGAGUUCAUCUUUGCUUAGGGACGAGCAAAGGUUAAGCUUGGGGGAGCUUGUUGACGGUCCUUAAUGCUCACAUUUAACCAUCAACUAAUCAUGGAAAAGGAUCCAAAUGCAACCAACACCCAGACUUAGGGUUUUAUCUGAUAGAAUUCCAUGAGUUUUGGUGUUUGUCUAUUUCUACAGGGGGUUAUCAGGAAAUAUGGAAGAAAGGCCCACACGUCGGGUUUACAUAGAGAUAUUAACUUGACGUGCAAUUAUCUACCAUCUAGAAGAGUCCACAAGCCACGGGAG
rnacentral:lncRNA from 1 species